rnacentral:lncRNA from 1 species
CUUUGACUAAUCCUUACAGGCUUAGCUAAACCUUCAUUAUCGGUGAAUGUCUUUUUUAGCUUUUUUUGGGGGCUUUAACAGAUCCAUGCUUUAAUUAGCUGGUUAGAUUCAUAUGGUUUUGAUUAUUUCGUAACCAAUUGUAUCUCCAUGAUUCAUUAUUUUGAUAAUGAAAUUCACAUACUUAACAAAACAAAAAAACAUAUAUAACCUAGCUAGAUCUGUAAAUGUCAUGAUAUAAGCAUCAUCUGUCCUAUAUGAGGCGUAUUGGUUGAUUCAGUGUUUGUUUUAGUAAACUUGAGGUUGAACAGAAACAGAGCUCUCAUGAAGAAGAUGAAGUUGAGAAGAUUUGGAAAUGAAUGAAUAGUUUCUGU